rnacentral:rRNA from 1 species
UACGUAGGGGCUAGCGUUAUCCGGAUUUAUUGGGUUUAAAGGGUGCGUAGGCGGAUAUGUAAGUCAGCGGUGAAACUCACAGGCUCAACCUGUGCCGUGCCGUUGAAACUGUGUAUCUGGAAUGCGGAUGCUGUGGGAGGAAUGUGUAGUGUAGCGGUGAAAUGCAUAGAUAUUACACAGAACACCGAUUGCGAAGGCAUCUCACAAAGCCGUUAUUGACGCUGAGGCACGAAAGUGUGGGGAUCAAACAGGAUUA